GUAGGUGGCAAGCGUUGUCCGGAUUUACUGGGCGUAAAGCGCGCGCAGGUGGCCCGCCAAGUCUGGGGGUGAAAUCUCCCGGCUCAACCGGGAGAGGUCUCUGGAAACUGACGGGCUUGAGGAGAGCAGAGGAGAGUGGAAUUUCCGGUGUAGCGGUGAUAUGCGUAGAUAUCGGAAGGAACACCAGUGGCGAAGGCGGCUCUCUGGGCUCUUCCUGACGCUGAGGCGCGAAAGCGUGGGGAGCGAACCGGAUUAGAUACCCGGGUAGUCCACGCUGUAAACGUUGGGCACUAGGUGUGGGAGGUAUUGACCCCUUCCGUGCCGAAGUUAACGCAUUAAGUGCCCCGCCUGGGGAGUACGGCCGCAAGGCUA
rnacentral:rRNA from 1 species